UACAGGACGAACGCUGGCGGCGUGCUUAACACAUGCAAGUCGAACGAGAAUCUGUGGAUCGAGGAUUCGUCCAAGUGAAGCAGAGGACAGUGGCGGACGGGUGAGUAACGCGUGAGGAACCUGCCUUUCAGAGGGGGACAACAGUUGGAAACGACUGCUAAUACCGCAUGAUACAUUUGGGUGGCAUCAUCUGAAUGUCAAAGAUUUAUCGCUGAAAGAUGGCCUCGCGUCUGAUUAGCUGGUUGGUGAGGUAACGGCCCACCAAGGCGACGAUCAGUAGCCGGACUGAGAGGUUGACCGGCCACAUUGGGACUGAGAUACGGCCCAGACUCCUACGGGAGGCAGCAGUGGGGAAUAUUGGGCAAUGGGCGCAAGCCUGACCCAGCAACGCCGCGUGAAGGAAGAAGGCUUUCGGGUUGUAAACUUCUUUUAAGAGGGAAGAGCAGAAGACUGUACCUCUAGAAUAAGCCACGGCUAACUACGUG
rnacentral:rRNA from 1 species